rnacentral:sRNA from 1 species
UGAAAACGUUUUAAAAUAAAGACGUUCUUGAAUUUCGUUUUUUGAAAAAGAAUUGCCAAAAUUAAUUUUGGAAGGAGAUUAUUCUUCUUCAAGUUAACGAAAAAAAUAUUAAAGGAGGAAGAACAAGA